GUGAGAGGUCACAGCAUCGCGCUCUCCUAUUGGUCAUGUAGGAAGCAGGAAGCAGCAAAAGCGCGGCUUCCUCUGUUGGCUUAACAACAAACUGGCUAAAAAAUGGGAAAUCUCACACGACUGAAAAAACUAAUUAACGAGGAGAUUUCGAAAAGAGGCCCACUGAAGCUUAUAAAAUAUCUUCAGAGGAAAAAGCUACUUAAAAGAAAAAUAAAAUGCAAAGUCUGCCAGCAGAAAAUGGAACUGAAGAAAAGGGUGAACAACGGAGACCAAUAUGCUUGGUAAGAUAUCUAUAUUAAUUUUCAUAUUAUGUUUUUAGACUCAACCUCAUACGAAGUGACACACUUACUGUAAAAUUUAUUAGUAUUAUUUGUUUUCACACCAAAAUUCUCCUUAAAACGGAGCUAACAGUGGUUUCAUUUAAAGCGCGUGGUCUGGCAAAUUAAAGCAAGUGAAGUCAGUUAGAUUAUCACCUUAAAGACUUGUCAUUAACAUUACAACUACACAGAGUCCCUUUUAUCACAUUUUUCUUAUUUGAUAAAAAGACAAUGGUAAAUUGAAGGCUACAAUUAAACAAAACAAAGAAUGACAAAAUUUGUCUGCAAGUGCACAUUAAGUUUAGUUUAAACAAAUACUUAUUGCAUAUAAUUAAACAUACAUAUUUCAUGUUACUAUUUUGAAAAUAGGAUCUGUCGUGCACUCAAAAAAAUGAACUCAGCCUAUCUCUGCUUUUACUAAAGUAGAUUUUGUUGUUUGUUCUUAAUAAACUCGAUUUUGCAAAAAUUCUUAAAGUGUUUGUGCAAAUUUAAUGAAAUGUUGUUACUUUUUGUUGUUACACAAAGUCAUUGAACUGUGUCAACGUAACAUUGUUGAGUAAAUUCACAGGUUUGUCCCUCUGCACAUACUGCUGCGUGCAGAGCCCGCCUAAAUAAGGGCCAAUGCGCAUGCGCACCACCCUCUUUCUCAAGCUUGCUUUUUCUUCGCCAUGUGGACUGGUUCAGCCGCAUUUUUGUCCAAAAAUCAGAUACGUUGAUGUGGCAGUGCAAAUUGUGCAAAAAAGUGGUGUCAUCACGAGCUCUGUUAUUAAAACACUACAGGUUAGUUCAUAGUAGACAGCAGUAUCCAUGUGCCUAUUCUGAUUGUGUCUGUGUUUUCAAAACAUGGAAUGCUCUACAUAGCCACUUAAGCAGAUCACAUACCCAAAGAACUCUAGACAAGUCUGUGAGUUUGGCAACAUUUAACUGCCAUUUGUGUUCCUGCUGCAACAUAGCUUCAGAGCAGGAGUAUUUUUCUCACAUUAACAACCAUCUAAAAUGUAACGAGACUGUGCAUUGCAUGUUUGAGGGUUGUUCUUUCAAAACAAAUAUCUAUGGUACAUUCAAAUCUCAUCGAAAUAGGAAACACAAUCCUUAUACCUUAAAAGACUUUAAAAUCGGUAUUGCUAACACUAUUGUAGGCCAAACAUCAGCUGAUGACAGUACAGACACUAUUGUAGAAGAGGACAUAAGUGCAAAUAUUGAUCACGAUACAACUACAAGUGAGACUGAAGAUUUGGCAAAUGUAAUAGAACUUAAUUUUGCAUUUCUUUUACUUAAGUUGGAAAACUAUUUUCAUGUUCCCAGCAUAGCAAUUGACAAGUUGCUUUCAGAAUUGCACUACCUGAUAAGCUGUGCAUCAGUGCCUUUGACAAAUCAAGUAAUUGUAGACAUACUCAAGAAUCAUAACCUUUGUCUAGACCAGCCUGUUAUUGAAGAACUGACAAAGGCAGUUUCUUUUAACCCUUUGUUAAAAGCCAUAGAAAAGGACGGCACACUUGCCACUGCCUUCAAACGCAGACAGUAUUACAGAAAACAUUUUGAAGUAAUUGAUCCAAUUGAAUACAUUCUCGACUCCCAAAGCAAGAGGACCUUUCAGUAUAUUCCUAUUCUAAAAUCAUUACAGCAGAUAUUUAAACAAGAAAACAUACUGAACAAAUUUGUCACUAGCCACAAUCAGAAUCCUUUUGUAAAUAAGGAAAAGUAUACAUCAUAUAAAGAUGGUCUACAUUUUCAAAAUAAUGAGUUUUUCUCAGGCGGUGAACUAAGAAUCUCUAUUUGUCUUUAUGUUGAUGAUUUCGAAAUUUGCAAUCCAUUGGGGACAUCACGGAAAAAGCAUAAACUUUGCUCAGUUUACUGGAUUUUAGGUAACUUGCCACCAGGUAGUCAUUCAUCCCUCUCUUCUAUUUAUUUGGCUCUCUUGUGCAAAAGUGAGGACCUUAGGACCUUUGGCUAUCCAAAAAUAUUUGAGCCACUUUUGCAAGACCUUGUCAUUUUAGAGCAGCAGGGAGUGUUCAUUGACAAUUUAGGGGUCAACUUUAAAGGCACUGUCCAAUAUGUAGUGGCAGACAGCCUCGGAGCUCAUGGAUUGGCCGGUUUUGUGGAAAGUUUUUCUGGAGAUUACUUUUGCAGGUUUUGUACUGCUACACGCUCAGAGAUUGAAUCAAAAGCUACAAAUAGUGACUUUUCUCUGAGAACUGAGGAGCUCCAUCGUGUACACAUAGCAACUGCACGUGAGACAGGGGUAGCUUGUUGUGGUGUGAAAAGCUCGUGUGUCUUGGCAGACAGUCUGUCUUUCUUCAAGGUCACUGCAGGAUUCCCCCCUGAUCUUGCACAUGACCUUUUUGAAGGUAUUGUGCCUUUUGAGAUAGCUGAGUGCCUUCGAAUACUAAUAGGCAAGAAGUACAUCACUUUUGAAAAUCUAAAUAGACUUGUUCAGUCAUUUCCCUACAAAGGAGGGGAUCAGACUAAUCGCCCUCAGAAAUUGCCUCACAAUUUUCUUAGUAAAAAAACUGUUGGUGGCAAUGCACAUGAAAAUUGGUGUUUACUAAGACUUCUGCCACUUAUUAUUGGACAACACAUACCUGAAAACGAACCAGCUUGGGAACUUCUACUAGAUUUGAAGGAUAUUGUUGAGCUUGUUGUGUGUCCUGUUCAUAACAGUGACUCAGUUGCAUACCUGGAGAGUAAGAUUUUAGACCACCAUCAAAGGUACAAAGAAGUAUGCCCAGAUAGAAGACCAUUGCCAAAACAUCACUUUCUGGCUCAUUAUCCCUCAAUAAUUCGCCAUUCUGGUCCACUUGCCUUAUUAUGGACAAUCAGAUUCGAGGCAAAGCACACAUUUUUUUAAAAAGUUGCUAGACACACAAACUGCUUCAAAAACAUAACCCUGUCUUUGUCAACCAAACACCAGCUCAUGAUUGGCCAUUACAUGCAUUCAUCAGGCUGUAGCAAAGCCACUUUUGAGGUUUCACGAGUCUCGGCAGUCCCAGUAGAACUUCUCAAACGUGAAAUUGCACAUUGUCUUGCUGAAAAGUACCCUGACACAGCUGUAGUUAGCCUUGCCCAGAGUGUGUCUGUUGCGGGCAUCUACUACAGGAAGGGCAUGUUAAUAGUACAUGGAUCACUGGGGGGUCUGCCAGAGUUUGCUGAAAUCCUGCAGAUGUGUAUUUUGGCAGAUUCGUUGGUGUUUAUAGUAAAAAAACUGAGCUCGUGGUACACUGAACACUAUAGAUCCUUCAAAAUUGACCCAUCUCCAAAGGAAAUUUCUCUUGUUGCACAUGAGGAUCUGGUGGAUUGUUAUCCACUUUGUGACUACCAAGUCGGAGCUUCUCGCAUGGUUACAUUAAAGAGAUACAUACACUGUUCAGGUAAUUUUAAUGUCCAUGUUGCCGAUUUAAUUUUUGUGCUGUAUAGCAGUUCUUCUCAAAGUUUGGUUCUUAAAAAUAGUUGGACCAGAACUUAAAUCUACUCGGAUAUGUUUCAAGCCUUGUAAAAAUACUAGAAAAAAAAUUGUGCUGCAAAAUUCUGAAUACCACUAAAAAAAUACCUGCUUCACCAUUGUAACAUGUACUGAAGUUUGGGAACCACCUGCUCAUGUUCUUGCACUUAUUUUUUAGAGUAACAGUUGGAGAUUGGGACAUCAGAAAUGACAGCCCCAACAAAGCUUCUGAUAAUCCUGGGGGAGAACAACGCACUCAAGUUAACCCUUCCUUUGGGGAUACCAAAGAAUGUUAACGAGCUCAAAGCGGAGAUUGAAAAUCAGUGCGGAGUUUCUGAACAGUUCAGAUUGCAGUACAUGGACACAGAUUUUAAUCAGUUCCUUAACCUGACAUCCACAUUUGAUCUAAAAGACAUGGACAAAAUAAAAGUGAUUAAAACAGGUGUACCAGAAACAUCCACUGGUAGUAAUGAAAGCAGUGUGUCCUCAUUUAACUUGGGUAGCCCCUGCUCUGGCCACAACCCUGAUUAUGACACAGAUAUACUGUCAUCGCCAGAAUCCAGGUCAUCAAGCUCCUCGAGCUCAGCAAACUCCACGCUGCGAUCAGAAGCCUGGCCACUGGACUUUCGCAUACCUGAGUUUAGCUUCGAUGUAGAGCUGCAAUUGACAAAAGGCAAACAGGAAUUCCAAGCCAAUGGAACACUUUUAGCCCUAAAACCAAAGCUCAAGUCUGACAUUUUAGAGAGCUUGUCUUCAGAAAUUAUGAAGUACAAAGCUUACCCUUCAGACAGCAAUCUUAGUGAUGUUUGCCAAGCUUUGGUUGUAAAGCAUCCAUGCUUGAAAGAGAAGGGUUCAGAAACUGGAUUUUCUGCAUGGAAGAUCAGUUUGAAGUAUAAAAUGUCAAACUAUCGUGGAAAACUGAAGAACUUAGGGUGUAGUGAGUUGGUCAUCAAUUCUCUCAAAAGAAGAGGGAACAGUAAUGUGCAUCCCAACCAAGUCAAGAAACCCAGGAGAGCGGAGGUGAAUUUCUGCCCUGAUUAUCCAGCUGGAGAAACCCGAGAGAGUCAGGAAGAAGAAAGGUUGGUGCUGCUUUCAGAGUUCAAGAAGAAGAACAACGAUGAAACCAUCAAAGCAAAAAUGGCCCAAACCUUUCCUCACCGGAGGCAAGAAAUUCUUCAGGACAUGCCCUUCGUAGCUGACUUUAAAAGCCGAUGGCCAGCUCUUUUUUCUCCACGUGAGAUAAAUGCUGAAUUCCAGCGCAUCACUACGGUCCCGCUAACAUCCACAUUUAUGGCACAGCUGGACAACAACACAACCAAACUGACCAAAGUCUUCAGAAACAAGGGAGGAACAUCUGGACGCAAGAUCACAGAAAUCAUGGCUGCAAUUGAUGAGAACGACACAGUUGCAA